AGAGUUUGAUCAUGGCUCAGAUUGAACGCUGGCGGCAGGCCUAACACAUGCAAGUCGAACGGUAACAGGAAGCAGCUUGCUGCUUCGCUGACGAGUGGCGGACGGGUGAGUAAUGUCUGGGAAACUGCCUGAUGGAGGGGGAUAACUACUGGAAACGGUAGCUAAUACCGCAUAACGUCGCAAGACCAAAGAGGGGGACCUUCGGGCCUCUUGCCAUCGGAUGUGCCCAGAUGGGAUUAGCUUGUUGGUGGGGUAACGGCUCACCAAGGCGACGAUCCCUAGCUGGUCUGAGAGGAUGACCAGCCACACUGGAACUGAGACACGGUCCAGACUCCUACGGGAGGCAGCAGUGGGGAAUAUUGCACAAUGGGCGCAAGCCUGAUGCAGCCAUGCCGCGUGUAUGAAGAAGGCCUUCGGGUUGUAAAGUACUUUCAGCGGGGAGGAAGGGAGUAAAGUUAAUACCUUUGCUCAUUGACGUUACCCGCAGAAGAAGCACCGGCUAACUCCGUGCCAGCAGCCGCGGUAAUACGGAGGGUGCAAGCGUUAAUCGGAAUUACUGGGCGUAAAGCGCACGCAGGCGGUUUGUUAAGUCAGAUGUGAAAUCCCCGGGCUCAACCUGGGAACUGCAUCUGAUACUGGCAAGCUUGAGUCUCGUAGAGGGGGGGAGAAUUCCAGGUGUAGCGGUGAAAUGCGUAGAGAUCUGGAGGAAUACCGGUGGCGAAGGCGGCCCCCUGGACGAAGACUGACGCUCAGGUGCGAAAGCGUGGGGAGCAAACAGGAUUAGAUACCCUGGUAGUCCACGCCGUAAACGAUGUCGACUUGGAGGUUGUGCCCUUGAGGCGUGGCUUCCGGAGCUAACGCGUUAAGUCGACCGCCUGGGGAGUACGGCCGCAAGGUUAAAACUCAAAUGAAUUGACGGGGCCCGCACAAGCGGUGGAGCAUGUGGUUUAAUUCGAUGCAACGCGAAGAACCUUACCUGGUCUUGACAUCCACGGAAGUUUUCAGAGAUGAGAAUGUGCCUUCGGGAACCGUGAGACAGGUGCUGCAUGGCUGUCGUCAGCUCGUGUUGUGAAAUGUUGGGUUAAGUCCCGCAACGAGCGCAACCCUUAUCCUUUGUUGCCAGCGGUCCGGCCGGGAACUCAAAGGAGACUGCCAGUGAUAAACUGGAGGAAGGUGGGGAUGACGUCAAGUCAUCAUGGCCCUUACGACCAGGGCUACACACGUGCUACAAUGGCGCAUACAAAGAGAAGCGACCUCGCGAGAGCAAGCGGACCUCAUAAAGUGCGUCGUAGUCCGGAUUGGAGUCUGCAACUCGACUCCAUGAAGUCGGAAUCGCUAGUAAUCGUGGAUCAGAAUGCCACGGUGAAUACGUUCCCGGGUCUUGUACACACCGCCCGUCACACCAUGGGAGUGGGUUGCAAAAGAAGUAGGUAGCUUAACCUUCGGGAGGGCGCUUACCACUUUGUGAUUCAUGACUGGGGUGAAGUCGUAACAAGGUAACCGUAGGGGAACCUGCGGUUGGAUCACCU
rnacentral:rRNA from 1 species